AUGGCAACCUUUGUUUGGAAUCAGAGAAUCGUAGACUGUGAGAAUCAGAGGGGACCUCAGAGAUUAUCUGGUCUGACCCUCCCAUUUUACAAGUUACGUAACCAAGGCCUCUUAGUGAAAGAUCCUGUGAUUGAUGCCUGUUUCGACACCUGGAGCCCUGUACCAGAGGAGAGCAAGGUCAAGAACCACAAAGAUCAAGAAACCAUGUGCAGUGGUAUCAACCCUGAGAAAGCCACCACUAAUUCAAUGGCUCCGAGAAAGUAUGCAACAGUGGGUGCUACCAAAUCUUAAAAAAUACUAAAUUCUUGCUGCACUACGAUUCCUCUGCACUUGAAGAUGUUGUCAUAUGCCAUGAAAACUCAAGGCUUCCAUCCAAGGCAGUGUUUGUUGACACUGGUAUAUCUUGACAUUUGAAGGCAGGUUCACACAAGCAUUCAUGAUCAUUCUAACUGCCAUUUGCUUGCCAGCAUUAAUGGAACUUACUUUCUCUCAGACGUUUUGAUUAAAGUUGCAUGUAAUUUAUAUAUAAAUUUAUAAAAAAUUUUAGAAUUGUGAAGAUUCAAAGUUUCAUGAAUAAACACAGUGUAUCACUCCAUCUAUUAGGUAUUUUUCACAUCUAUCAAUAAAAUUUAUUUCUUUCAUCUGUCAUAUUCUAAAAGUUUUGUUGCUUUUAGAAACUAUAUUUCUUAAAUUCUAUUUUUGAAUUGAUCAUUGCCAGCACAUACAAAUAUUACUAAUUUUUAUGUUUAUCUUCUAUUUUAAAAUCUUGAUAUUUCUAAUACUUUGUAGACUCUCUUGAAUUUUUUAAUGCUGAAAAAAAUUAUAAAAACUGUUUUCCUUCCUUCUUUCCAAUAUUUACACAUUUUGUUUCUUUUUCUUCUUUUAUUGUAUUGAUUAGGAACUACAGGAACAUGUUAAAUGAAAGUAUCAAUAGCAGGAAUCAUAAAUUUGCUUCUAACUUUAAAGGUUAUCUAAAGUUUUACCACAAUGAAAGCUAUUUUCAGUAGGUUUUUGAGAAAUAAUAUUUUAUUAAGGGAUGAUUUCUUUAUUUUGUAUUUUGGUAAGCUCAUUCCCUAUUUUAAUAUCUGCAAUAAAUAUUAAAUUUUAUUAAAGUUCCUUUUCUGUGUUUAUUACAAUGACCACAUACCAUUCCCUUUACUCUUUUUAUCUCAUAACUUAUAUAGAGAGAUUUUCAAAUAUGAAAUUAUCCUUACUUGGUUUAAUAUAGAUAUAAAUUUCUUAAUAUACAUAUUGAUUUUGUUUAAUAAAUAUAUGAAAGUAUCUAUUAUCUGUUUAGCUCCUAAAUAUAUUUUAGAUAUUUAAUAUAUUCAUUGGUAAUAUAGUAGAAUAUUUCUUCAUAAUGAAUUAUGCUUGCAUAGUUUUCAUAAGUAAAUAAGCAGGUAAAUCAUCUACAUCACAUGUAUUGAUCUUAUAUAUAAAUAUAUACCUAUGAUUUAAUAUACUUUGGCAUUAUAUACUUAAUACAAUGUUGAUAUACAAUGAGUAAUAUUAUCUAUAGGAUGCUUGCAUCAAUGCAAUUUUAUUUUCUUGAUCUAUUCUCAUCGGGUUAUAUUAUCUAAAUUAUUCUAACCUAAGAGAGUGAGCAAGACAUUUCCACCUCUUUUAUUACCUGAAAUGAUUUACAAAACACAUGGUUGCUUAGGACUGGGGAAAUGGAAAAAUUGGAGAUAAUAGUUAAUAUAUAAAGAGUGUUUUGGGGGUGGUGAAAAUGUUCUGAAAUUGAUGGUUGUACAACUUGCAAAUAUAUCAAAAACCACUGGAUUGUACUCUUUAAAUUUGUAAAUUUAUGGUAUGUGAGUAUUCACUCAAUAAAUCUAUCAUUUUUUAAAAGAAAAACAAAGAAAACGAACGUGUUUCUUGAAGGAUGGCACAUUUCCUAUAACUAUUUUGUUGUAGUUGGGUGAGAAAAAGUUUUAAGAAUUGAUUCAAUUUUUGAUGGUUAUUAAUUUAUUUGUCUUCAACUUUUCUUAAUUAUAGCAAUCUGUAACUUCCUAGUCUAUUAUCUAGUUCAUUUAUAUUUUUAAAAUUUAUUGUCAUAAUUCUCAUCAAACCUUUAAAUGAUUGUUUUAUUUCCUGAGUAUCUAGACUUCAGCUUUCUUUUCCUUUACUACUAUCCUUUAUUUACUUUUGUCUUUCUCACCUAUGGAAACAUGGAUUUUUCUAUUUUAUUGAUUUUUUAAUAAAAAGCUUUAAAGUUUGUGUUUACUGUCAUUUAUUCUUUAUUUUUAUUUUCUGCUUCAAACUUUAUUUUGUUGUUCAUUUCACUUACUUUGAUAUACACUCAUAAUUUGUUUUGUCUUUUCUUCUAGAGUUGCAGGAUUAACUCUUUCAUUUUCAGUAUCUUUUUAUUUUAAAAUUCCUUUGCAUAUGGAUAUAAAUUUACCUCUGAUAGUUUAGCUGCAUCUCACAAGAUUUUACAUGCAACAUUCCUGUUGAGAUUCAUUUUUUAUUUUUUUUUUGUCUUUUUAGGGCCACCCCCACGGCAUAUGGAGGUUCCCAGGCUAGGAGUCAAUCAGAGCUAAAGCCACCAACCUAUGCCACAGCCAAAGCCAUGCCAGAUCCAAGCUGCAUCUGCAACCUACACCACAGUUUAUGGCAAGGCCAGAUCCUUUACCCAUUGAGUGAAGCCAGGUAUCGAACCCACAUCCUUGUGGAUACUAGUUGGGUUUGUUAACCACUGCCACAAUGGGAACUUCCUCCUGUUGAGAUUCUAAAUUUGUCAUAAAUUUUUUUUGUGAUUUCUUCCCUAGUUCAGGUCUUAAAGACAAGAAUGCUUAUUUCAAAACUUAUGUUUUUUUCUUCAUUUAAAGUGCUAAAAGGAAAAAAUAUGCAACCUAGAAUACUCUAUCCAGCAAGAAUAUCAUUUAAAAUAGAAGGGGAAAUAAAAAUUUUUUCCAACAAACAAAAACUUAAAGAAUACAGCAACACAAAACCCAGGUUAAAGGAAAUA
rnacentral:lncRNA from 1 species